rnacentral:rRNA from 1 species
AGAGUUUGAUCCUGGCUCAGAAUCAACGCUGGCGGCGUGCCUCAGACAUGCAAGUCGAACGCGAAAGUCCCCUUCGGGGGGCGAGUAGAGUGGCGUCCGGGUGAGUAACACGUAGGUAAUCUACCUUUGGGUGGGGAAUAACGCAGGGAAACUUGCGCUAAUACCGCAUAAUGCAGCGGCACCACAUGGUGACAGUUGUUAAAGCGGGGGAUUUUCGAACCUCGCGCCUAAAGAGGAGCCUGCGGCAGAUUAGCUAGUUGGUAAGGUAACGGCUUACCAAGGCGACGAUCUGUAGCCGGCCUGAGAGGGCGGUCGGCCACACUGACACUGACAUACGGGUCAGACUCCUACGGGAGGCAGCAGUCGGGAAUUUUGGGCAAUGGGCGAAAGCCUGACCCAGCAACGCCGCGUGAAGGAUGAAAUCCUUCGGGAUGUAAACUUCGCAAGAAUGGGAAGAAUUAGUAGGGGUUAAUACCCCCUAUGAUGACGGUACCAUUUGUAAGCUCCGGCUAACUCCGUGCCAGCAGCCGCGGUAAUACGGGGGGAGCAAGCGUUGUUCGGAUUUACUGGGCGUAAAGGGCGCGUAGGCGGUCAGCACAAGUCAGUUGUGAAAUCUCCGGGCUUAACUCGGAAAGGUCAACUGAUACUGUGCGACUAGAGUGCAGAAGGGGCAACUGGAAUUCUCGGUGUAGCGGUGAAAUGCGUAGAUAUCGAGAGGAACACCUGCGGCGAAGGCGGGUUGCUGGGCUGACACUGACGCUGAUGCGCGAAAGCCAGGGGAGCGAACGGGAUUAGAUACCCUAGUAGUCC